rnacentral:lncRNA from 1 species
UGGAGAGAGACUGGGAAUCACAAUGACAGUUGGCUGUGAGGUUGUACCCUUGGGAGAUGAAAUAACUCUGUCAUCAGUGAAGAGCUUCCUAAUGACAUGGAGGGCUCUGGGAUCAAGACCUCCAUCCUGGCUCCACUUUCCUAGGCAUUAUGCCAGCCUUGGAAGACCAAGAAAGAAGAUCCCUAGAGCAAGCUGGCUGGCAGGACUAGAUAUAACGGCGAGUUCUGGGUCUGAUUGCAAGACACCGCCUCAGUGAAUAAAGUGGAAGAGAAAUUGAAGAUGAUUCCUGGCAUCAACCACAGGCCUCCACAUGUGUGCACAAAUGUGUGUA